rnacentral:rRNA from 1 species
CAGUCGCCGCGGGAAAACGAAGGGGGCUAGCGUUGUUCGGAUUUACUGGGCGUAAAGGGCGCGUAGGCGGACUGAUAAGUCAGGGGUGAAAUCCCAAGGCUCUACCUUGGAACUGCCUUUGAUACUGUUUGUCUUGAGUUCGAGAGAGGUAAGUGGAACUGCGAGUGUAGAGGUGAAAUUCGUAGAUAUUCGCAAGAACACCAGUGGCGAAGGCGGCUUACUGGCUCGAAACUGACGCUGAGGCGCGAAAGCGUGGGGAGCAAACAGGAUUAGAUACCCCCGUAGUCCCUGUCUCUUAUAA